CGCUCUCCUCCGGUGCACACUCUCGUGGUGACUCCGACCGGCAAAGUGCUCGCGUUCGUGAAAGUCCACAGACGACUUUCAGGGUCGUCUGCUCCGCUCGUCCGCUCCUGCUUCGACUCUCGCGGCGAGAAGGAGCCGCCGAAAACAAGAAACGUCGUCCACGUACGUCGCGUCGCGGUCUCGAACAGUUGGAACCCGGGAAGGUGUCCUCCUGAUCGCCCGGAGACACGUCGCGCCUAAACUCCGUCGUUCGUCGCGGAGAUCGAUGAGACGACGCUCCGUCGCGAGGAUUUCUCGUCCACUCGGCGCGGAUCACGAGUUCCUUGACCGUCCGAUAUCGCCGUACGAUCGAUCCCGCCGUACGAUCGUCGCGGCCAGCGAAUCUCGCGUGAACUCCCGUUGAUAUGUGAUCGGCCUGUGAUUUCUGGUGCGAAGGAAGCUCGAAUCCGCGAGAGGAUCCCUCGGUGGUCGCGUCGCGAACCGGAAUCGCUUGGAGACCAGUAACGGAACAUCGAGGAGCUUCCAACGAACCGAUCCACCUUUCGGUGAUCGUCUUUCAUCUUACGGUGUGACGUGACCAAGGCUUCCCUACGAAACUUGUUUUCUAAAUAAAAUCUAACUCGCGACGAUGUCCUCGCGUCUCCGCGUCCCGUCGACGAGGGACGGCGCAAGAUUGGUUCACGCCAACGAGCGGUUCCACGACGAGCAAGACGAUCAACCGCUGAAACCGAGGACGUGCAAGAACGGCUCGAAUCGCUACCACUUCGGGAUGACGCGACCACGGGACGAGGAGGUGAGCAGGAACGGUCGCGACCACAGGGACCACUCGGACGAGGACGCUGACGCGUUGUACAAAAAGAGCAGGCAGCACUUCGGCGCCUGGGACUUCAAGGACGUCGUCCUGGAGGAGAGACCCGGCCCGAGGAAGUCGACCGACCGAUUCGACGAACCCAGGUUAACGAACGGUCACUCCCGGAACGACCUCGUCCGGCAGGAUCAGGAACAAUCGCACAGAUCCAGGAGGAAGGACUGUCCGCCUUGGGAGGAGUCGAAGGCGUCGAGAAGUCGCGCUAGAAACGAGGAGAUCACUCCAGACCAUUCGAAGGUGGCGGACGAGAGGGAUCUACUUCUAAGGGAGAUUGAGAACCUGGCGGUCGAGGGAACGUCGCCCGAUCGGAGGAUCAGGGCGAUGAUCGAGAGGUUCAAGACCAGGGAGGAGGACAAGCUCAGGUCCAGAAGGGAGAGGGACUCGCUGAGUCCGGAGAAGGACGGGUGCAGGUCGAAAAGCGUUGGACGAAACGAGUCGCGGCUGGAUCACGAGGAUCGUGUCAACGACAGGGGAUCCAGGACCCAGAAGGACGAUCAGCCGGUGAGAUCGAAGAUAACGGAGCCCGAGCACGAGGAGCCAAGCAGAGGUCGGUCCGUCGAUCGCAGGGCUGAGAAGUUCAAUGGAUUCGGGGACUCGAGGAGGAACGACGGCGUGCCGCGUCACAGGAACGACAGCUCGGAGAAGAGUCGUCGCAGACGAUCCAGGGAGCUCGAGGACGACCUGCCGCGCAGGAAAGAUAGCCCUAAAAGAAGAAGCUACGCUUACGAGGGGAACCCAGAGGACUUCGACGUGAGAAUACAGAGGUACGAGAGAGGCCUUUUGGAACCCAGAAGAGAGUCUCCCAAGCGAGUGUUGUUGAAAGACUCCGACCAAAAGGAGUCCUUCAAGGACUACGAUCGACAAGUGACUAGGAAGAGCUCCUUCAAGAAGACCCACAGGGACAGAGAGAGUCCCAGAAGAGAAUCUAGCUUGAAUAGAAAAGCUUCUCUCAAAACCCCGGAGAACGAUCUCCCUAGGAAGAAUUCCUUCAAGGACUCCGAGAAGAACUACUUCGGUAAGGAUCACGUUUCCAGGAAAAGUUCCUUCAAGGAGCCCGGAAUCCCUCCUGGUUACGAAUCUCCCAGGAAGAACUCCCAGCAGGGCUCGGAUUACGGUCGGAUCGCGCCGAAGAUGCACGACGAAGAGGAGCAGAAAAAUAAUUUCAAAGGACACGUCGGUGGAGUGAGCAGAAUCACGUUUAAAGAACGCGAGGAAGCCAGGGUCCGCGCGUACAAAGAUCAGGAAUCUGAAGUCAGAGGCUUCAAAGAUCACUCGACCGAUCUAGGGCGCAAGAAUUCUUUCAAAGAGAAGACCGUCGAGUUCGCCGGCGUCUCUUACGAAAAUCAGGACGACGAGGACCGGAGGACCUCGUACAAGGGUCAGGACAAAGCGAUCUUCCGGGGUCAGAGACACUCCCCUAACGGUCGAUACGUGGAGUUCGGUACGGUGUCCUAUCACAACCAGGACGAGGAGGUACUGACGAAGGAUCAUGAUCAGGAUCAGGAUCACGAUUUGGGAAGGAAGAACUCGUUCAAGGAUCGAGACUCUCCUUCGAAGAGGAGACCGUCUCUCAGGAGCAAGAGUCACGAGCCCUUCGACAAACGAUCUAAUAGACACUCCAGACCGCUCACUCCCCCGAAAAAGGACGAGAGUCUCGAGGAACUCGGGGACCGCGAGGACUUUGACUCAAGGUCCUGGCACGAGAGCAACAGACACUUCGCUGUCAAGUAUCUCAGGGAGAACGGCAGGUACCGCUCGAACCCCGAAGGUCAUUCGGAGAUCGAGAGAGAUCCCUCUCCGGAGGGCAUCGCAGGAGGGCAGGACAGGAAGCACUCCGUGGACGAGGUGUUCAUCGACCAAGUCGAGGCGACGAAAAGGGAGCAACGGAACGACUACUCGAACAUCGGCUCGUACGGGUUCGUCGUCGAGCACGAUCAGACUCGCGAGCGAAUUCAGGACACCCUGUACGCGGCCACUCGCGAGAGGAACGGCGCCACGAUCAUCAGGAUCCGCUCGAGUCCCGAGGCGACGGUCGAGAGGCGACGCAGACGUCGUCCGCCGCAGGACGCCCACGCGCCGAGACGCAGGCGUUACGACGACGAAGAGGACGACAGCGAGGACGACGAGGAUGACCAUCGCAGACGGAGGGCGUCGCGGGGCGACGGUUCAGCGCCGCUAAGAGCUGUCCCUACACCGUCCAGGCGAAUCUGGAAUUACCGCGAAGGGGGUGUCCUGAUCACUGACGUCGAGGAGGGCCAGCCCUGUUUGCAGUGCGGGGAAACGUGCUCAGGAUUCUCACCCCACACGUGGAGUGUCGGUCUUUCGGCGUUUGGCGACUCCCCGAAUUCGCUCCGGUUAUCCGGAACCCGAUAAACGCUCGCGGACGCGCGCGAAUCGAGCCGAAUCCGUCGCUAGUCGCGGACUCGUCGUCGUCCGAUCGUCGAUAGCCGCGAUUUGUGAGUGCCAUGGUUUGGGACGACGGACUCUCGGUGAAGGAACUGACGGAGAUGAGGAAGAAAACGCCGCGAUUUCCUUCGAGGGAGCGGAAUUUCGCGAUGAGGAGACGAGGAGUGCGAAGAGCCUUCUCGCUGAGCCUGGGCAGCGCCUCCCCGAUCGCUGCUCCACCGCCCGACAUCCAGGAGGAGGAACGCGACAGCACCCCCGACGAAUCCUCCAACGAUAACGUUGCCACACUAGACCAAUUGCGUUUGCCCGCGAGCAUUUUGCACGUUCUCACCUGGCUGGUGAUCGUCGCUGGAUGACUCAGACGUCAGUCACUCCACGUGUGGGGCGAUAACGCGUAAGACAAAGAGAACUCGUGGCUAAUUACUUCAGAUACCUCCGAAGGACGUUUGUAUAAGUCAUCGCUGUAUACAGUGUCAAGUUCGUGAAAUCAGAAGGCGCUACUCCGCAAAACGUACAUAUUCUAUACCUGCAAGAGUCUACCGAAUACUCCCAACCACAAUUUGUGCUAGCUACAUUUAGAAGCCACCUACUCAGAGAAGAUCGCAGUUCAAAAAUGUCAAAGGCCUCGGGGUCGGAAACGAUGAGGACCAGAGUUUCAUCCUGAACGACAAACUGCAGAGGCGUCACACGACGCCUCAGUUGCUCCCAGGCGCGGGCCCCAGGAUGAGUCCGAAAGGACCCAGCCAGGAGGGUCCGAAGAUGGAAGUGAGGGUGUCCUGCACGACAGGUCCUGGCGGGGAACCCCAGGGGAUCCGAGUGAGAAUCCCCGAGCCCAAGAAGAGGCCCAUGAGCCCUCCUCUGAUGGAGACGAUGCGCGCCAGGUGUCCCUCUGUGCCCGAGAAGGAGUUCUACCGGAAGACCUCGUCCCUGGAUCGUCGAGACAGGUACCCCACGUUGUCAGGGGCCGAGAUCAAGAGGGGACUGAUCCCUGGAUCCGCGGAUCUGCCACGUGGCAAGAGGAACCCCAUGCUGGACAGGAAGAACCGUUUUCCGACGAUAUCAGGCGCGGAACUGAAGAGGAGCAUCGCUAUCGGAAGGUGUCCUCUGGAGGAUGGGCUAGAUCUCAGCCUGGCACCCUGGCCAGGGAUGAAGUGGGCCUGCGUGAGGGUGUUGCAUCUGUACUGUAAGGUGUUUGGCCAGUUCGAGCUGUUCGAGCUGAUCGUUAG